AUUGAACGCUGGCGGCAGGCCUAACACAUGCCAGUCGAGCGGAUGAAGGGAGCUUGCUCCUGGAUUCAGCGGCGGACGGGUGAGUAAUGCCUAGGAAUCUGCCUGGUAGUGGGUGAUAACGUCCGGAAACGGGCGCUAAUACCGCAUACGUCCUGAGGGAGAAAGUGGGGGUUCUUCGGACCUCUCCCUUUCAUAUGAGCCUAGGUCGGAUUAGCUAGUUGGUGGGGUAAAGGCCUACCAAGGCGACGAUCCGUAACUGGUCUGAGAGGAUGAUCAGUCACACUGGAACUGAGACACGGUCAAGACUCCUACGGGAGGCAGCAGUGGGGAAUAUUGGACAAUGGGCGAAAGCAUGAUACAGCCAUGCCGCGUGUGUGAAGAAGGUCUUCGGAUUGUAAAGCACUUUAAGUUGGGAGGAAGGGAAGUAAGUUAAUACCUUGCUGUUUUGACGUUACCAACAGAAUAAGCACCGGCUAACUUCGUG
rnacentral:rRNA from 1 species